rnacentral:rRNA from 1 species
UACGUAGGGUGCAAGCGUUGUCCGGAAUUAUUGGGCGUAAAGAGCUCGUAGGCGGCCUGUCGCGUCGGAUGUGAAAAGUCCAAGGCUCAACCUUGGACCUGCAUUCGAUACGGGCAGGCUAGAGUUCGGUAGGGGAGACUGGAAUUCCUGGUGUAGCGGUGGAAUGCGCAGAUAUCAGGAGGAACACCGAUGGCGAAGGCAGAUCUCUGGGCCGUAACUGACGCUGAGGAGCGAAAGGGUGGGGAGCAAACAGG